ensembl:lncRNA
AUGAAGGUAGACAAGAAACAACACAGCCAGGAAGUCCUUUCUAUGGUUCUCCUGCAGACAACAUAGUGUGUUUAAUGUUUUCAUUUCCUACGCCUACUUUGUGUUGUUGUUGUUUGUCUGGCCGCCAUGACACCAGGUAGGGGACAGCAGACCAGCUUUUGAAAGGGGUCAGUUUGGAUUACAGUCUGACCACACCCACUUGAGGUCAAAGGUCAACUCCUCCUCUUUGGUUCACUGAUGAUGAAGCGCUGUAUUGAGUAAAACAGGGAUGAAAAAAAGCCCUGUUUGAAAUCUCAUUUCUCCUCCUCUUCCAAAGCUAAGGAACCAUGGAGCACAGCCCUGCCAGCCUGGAGGUGGGAUUGAGGUGACACACCACCUCCAGCCAAUGGGGGGGAAGGAUUUGAGGGAUGGUCCAACAGCCCCAAUAAGGCUGCAAUAGGGAUGGGGGGCCCAGGCAGAGGAAGACACUCUCUGGCCAACAGGAAGCUAGCCAGCUCUUUUUAUUUUUAUUCCACCGCUGGUCAGGAAAACUCCAGCGAGAGACAAACUUGAAUCGUCUGUCAACGUGAUCUGGCUCCGCCUCCUCCACCGGGUUUCCUCGUUUGGCCACACCCACUCGCUGCCCCGAACAGGAGCACUGGGUGGCUAAGCAGAGACAGCGAGCCCCCCCUUUCUGCCUCAUACCUCGCCGUUCCUCACUCCUUCCUCCCUCCUCUUUGGUUACUUCACCAUCCCUCUCCCUCCAUCGCUGAGUCUUUUUGCUUUGUCAGCCCUCGGGGAGGCGUGCGUUUGUCGAACGGGGCAACAAAGAUGGCGGGGUGCGCGGGAGAACGGGAGUGAGCGAUUGAAAUGAAAAACAGACUCUGACGUCAAUCAAAGACACUUCCUUCUCCAGGACCCUCCUCUUCCUCUCAGCGUGGAAUCCUACUGGAUUUGCUGCCACACACGAUUUCUACAGACCACGCCCACUAUGUAUUUAACAGUUCAAUAUUGUGCAAAACUGGCUAGCCAUGACUAUUUUUGUUUUAUAUUCAUGAUGUUAUUGGUUUAAUUUAUCCUUGAUUUGUUUGCACAAUCGGGGUGCUGGUCUUAUAAAUGUAUUUUUGCUCGGUUUAUUUUAGGAGAAUUUUAAGAGGUUUUAAGUAACGAAGCAGGGCGUAGUGUUUGUGUGCGAGUGCAUAACUAUAUUUGUGCGUGCGGAUGUGUGUCUGCGUUUUAGUACAGGAUGUAUGAAUGCGUGAGAUAGAGUGUGUAUCUUUAAAAAAAAUUGGGGAGGGGGGGGUCUUUCUCUCUAUCAGUAUGCACCUUUUACAGAUUGUAUCUAUUUAUUUAUUUAUUUUUUUCCCAGAAGAGAAAAAAUGUGUGCGUGUGUGUGUGUUUGAGUGAUUUACUUGUGUAUUCUAAAAGCUGAUUUUAAGCCUAGACAGUAAAUUAAGGUAGCAUUACAAGUAUGGUCUUGUUUGUUUGUAUGUACGUGAGGGUGUGUGUGGGUAUGUGCGUGUAUGUGUGAUAAUGGGCCUCUUUAACACAGGGUUACCAUGGACAGGCAUGCUUCCAAAGCUUUGUGAUUUCAUUAGCAAGAUUUUUACUUUUUAGCCAAGCUGCAGACUCAGAAGCUGCUCUGUCUUCAACAACUAGUUUUUGCAUAACUUUUCUUUAUUUCCCCACUCAGAGGUACUUAACUGUAAGGUCUCCAGCAAGGUCAGAGUGAAUUAUAGAUCUUUCAGGCAUUGCAGUUUUUCCAGACGGUAAGAAGCCUUUUGGCAAGUUGCUGUUUUUCUUAAUCAUGGCGGUUGUUGCUCUGAAUUUUAGAAGUCCCCUUAUUCAUAGCGGCACAGUGACAACUCGUAAAGGAACUCAGAGUGGGGGUGGUACCCCGCGUAUCACACAUUACACGACCAUUUGAGUUUAAACUCCAAAUUAACUUUUAGGGCUGGUGUACAGAUGCUGCAAGACUUCUGAAUCACACAUCUUUAUAUGAGGCUCGUAUCAUAAAAUGUAUUUUUUUAUCAGGGAUGGUUUCAGAGAUAAAACCGACUUCCUGUUUGUGAUAUUUAUGAUUUACUGGUAAAGACAGUUUUGCUGAAAAAAUUAGCAUACAAGCAGGAAAUUUUACUGAUAAUUAUAAGACGAUGAUAAUUGUUUGGUUAAUGUGAUAAAUUAUUAGAUAGAAAUCACAAAGCUUACAUUUUGGAUGGAAAUUGUAUCCUAAGCUACUUUUUUUCUUUAUAAGUAGCCUGAAAUUUUUUGAUGGAUCGUUCUCUUUUUUAACUCAACCCUUGGGUAUAGUUUGAAUACACUGAAAGUACGACCACUGCAAGGUAUUUCAUUCAAGCCUCAGCAUUUUACACAGGGCACAGGUCUCACUUCGGUACUGUACCGUCUCCAAAAGCAUUCCUGACAUCAAAAUCACCUCAUUGGUACCAACUGCCACAUGUAUUAUUAUUAUCAUUAUUAUUAUUUCUACAAUUUAAUAGUAUUUAAAAGUGAAAUCGAUAAAUAUGCAGAAUGUGUGCAGGUAAGAAAUAAAAGGGGAACAGAUUCAUGAAAUUCAGUCUUAAAAAUUUCAGAAUCAGAGAAACUUUAUUAAUCCAAGAGGGAAAUUGAGUCCCAGAAGGACGAAGAUGAAGCUUAUUAUCAGUUUUAUUUUCCAAAAACUAAGCAUCUUCCACCUACACUGUAAGACCUUUAAAUACAGGUUGUCAAUGGCCUAGCAGAUGGAUUCUCAAAUAGGGAGAAAUCUAAUUGGUGUUAACAGCACUUUCAAAAUGCAAAGUACACCAGGAGAAUACCAAAAGUCACCAAACAGUGCAUCUUCAUGUUUUAGUUAUGACAUUAAUGAGUCAUUUUAAACCUAAAUCACAAGUUUCUCUAGUUAAUCCCAAGAAAAAUUCGAAUACACUGCAAAAGCUUUUGCCAUUUCAAGUCAUCAGCGAUGUUGAACGACCACCUAGAGACACUCGUAUGUCUUAACUUAUGGCCAUUCGUUUCUCUUUAAUUUACCAUUAAGGACUUACUGUCGAGCUCUAAUUCCUUCAUGUUAAGCAGAGCAGCUUUGUGGCAGGGAAGGGAGGUAUGCAUGGACACACUGCCAUACACUGCGUCCUGUGCCAGUACCAGACUUCUGACAUUAUUAUGCAAACUAAAUGUGAAUGUUGAGUAUGUUCUAGUGGCAGUGAUGAUGUUGUUUUGUGGUUAUGACACUGCAAACUCUGAAAAAGUCUGUUUUGUCAAAAGGAAUUAACCCUCCUAACUUAUGCCCCCCAAAAAAUCAUUUGCCUUCAUAAAAAUACUGUCAACAUUUCUUUGAAUUAUUGUAAAAGCACCUCUUAAAAAAUAAUAAUUUGCUGGCAUAAGCUGACAGGACCGUUUGGUGGCUAGUUUUGCUAUAAGCUGCAGAUCUGGGUAAAGUCAAGAAUGUUAAUACCUGAAAAGUAGCACCAAUCUUUGUUCAGUUGAUCAAGCUGAAGUUUAGUUAGCCCUGAGUUUAAAAGUCAAUGGUUCUAGCUGUUCUGCUGCAGUGGAGCCAUCAGCUUUUUACUAUGACUAUUUUAUCAGCUAGUAUAUCAACAGCCAUGAAUGUGGAAACCAGUAAUGAGUGACAGUAUUGGAUAGGAACAUUUCCACAAGAUUGCAUAACAUAUUAUAAACAGUCCAGGACCAUCUCCAGCUGAUAAAUAAUGAAUUAAUGUACAUUCACUUUACUUUUGUGUUCCUUAUAAAUUUUAGCCUAUACAUAAAUACACAAAGCAACCCUGCAAAUCAGAAGUACCACCCAGGCUUGGUGAGUGUGAUUUCAGAAUUAAGAGAGCUGUGGUGCCCCCGUGUGGAGUGGAGCAGCAUUGCCAUUUUUAUGUCCCACAUAGAAUAGCACGAGAUGUUGUGUUGCAGCGUAACGGUAUGAGUGGGUGUAAUCCUGCAACCCACAAGAUAUGCAAAAACAAUGCAAUAACUAUGACUGUAUACAAGGAUCCUGAAGUAAAUAUGUUUGUGAAAGUGAAGAAAAAAAACAACAACACAGUAUCAUGAAGCUGUAUUAUUUUCUGUUUGUUAUGUUUUUAAGUCACCUUGGUGGUUUCCAUGCCAGAAAACCUAACAUACUUGAAAUCAGGUACAUUGCAGUGAGGUAUAGUGCAGAUGUAUUUAUUUUUCAUUCUCGUCGCAGGGUGUAGGUCGAGCAUGUUCUUUUUUGUUGUUGUUUUUUUUUGACGCAGUGACCUGAAGGUCAGUGUUUUCCUCGUGAAUUAACAAGCAGUCAGUGGAGACGCAACAAAAGCGACUGACCACAUUUCCCCAGGUUCCCACUUUCUGACUGUAUCUUUUUAUGUUGCUUAUUUCCCCUUUUUGUUUUUUUUAAGAAUUAAGCUUGUUGGGUGUAAACAUUGCAUGAGGUUCACGUGUUGACAUUUGAGCGUUCCGGGUUUUGCAGUUGUUUUGUUUGAUUCAGGUUAAAUAUGACUAUUUAGUGUACAUAAAAUGAUUAAAAGCAGUAUUUCUUCUUCAGAACUGACUGGACAGCAGUUGAAGAGUCCACGGAAGGGGAUUUUGCAUAUCUUGUGUCUUAUGUGCUUUUAGUUUAUUUUCCUGAUGCAUAACCCUGAGGAGGACAGUGAGAUGAAAUUUAAGAACAGAUAAAUGAUCAAGUUUAAUAUUUUUCCUCUUGCAUUCAGUAAAUAAGGCUUUGUGUUGCCAUAUUACUUUUAAAUUGAUUACUGGGACAGACUUUGAUUUAAAUCCAGGUUGAGGACAGAUAGGCAGGAGUUACACAGCAUAUAUUCAAAUGUUUCUACUCUAUAGGAUGAUAUUCUAACAUUUUUACUAUUCAGUGCCAGUCACAAAUAAUUUACUAGGCUUUUAUCAUGCUGCAGGUCAUAUAAACACUCAUCAUUAUGAGUAAAAUUGCAUUCUAUAUUGGUCAAAUGUUUGUGUUUCAGCUCAAAUGGAAAAUAAUCUUAUACAAAACCUGCAAACAAAUCUACUAUAAAGACUGGUGUGUAGCUGUGCUGUAAACAGUCAGUGUGUAAUAUGAUAUUGGUACCAACCUGCAGUGAGGGCCCCUUUGAACAGAGCUGACUGAUUAUCAGGAAAAGCUCAGGUAUAAUCAUUUGCUUUGAUAGGGACCUAAUAUGCUUUUUCAUAUUUCUGUCAGCUAUAUACUGUUACGAUAUCCUCAUAUUUAAAGCUUCAAAUAGCGUAUGUACGAGUAUUCCGUGUGAGCCAAAAGCUCAAACUUCUGACUGAUCUAAAUAUUUUUUUUCAGAUGUUGGCUCUACAUAAAUAUACAUAUGCAUAAAUUAUCCCAAAAUGGUCAUUUCGGGCACAUAUCUUUGACUAUGAGCACAAAAGCUCUGCCCGCCUGUGCUUCGAACCUUAGAAAUUUGCCUUAAAGGAAGUUGAAACAUCUAAAGUUGCUUGUUUCAACUCAUUUCACUUGUAUUUAUAUAGUGCUUAAUCACAGCAGCAGCCACAUCAAAGAGUUGUAUCUUCUAAAAUGAAAGGUAAAUGACCCCUGAGCAAGCACUUGGCGAUAGUAGGAAGGAAAAACUCCCUUUUAACACGAAGAAACCUCAGAUAAUAAAUGAACAGAGAGGCUGCACUAAAGCGCAGUGUAAAGUAAAUAAGAUUAUUUUAAAACGUAAAUCAUGCUAAACUACUCUGGUAACAUCUGAGAAUAAGAAAAACAAUAUUAAGCAAGCAUAAUGGAUCCCCUUUAGUCACGGCUCAUUUCAGUUUGUGGUAAACGUGCACCAAACGUGCGUCUGUGAAGCUCUUAUCAUUUAUUAGCCACAUCUUCCACCUUGAAUCCACUACGUGUGAGGGGGUCUUUCUGUAUACUUGUGCUCUCUUUUCCCACAUAGACAGAUGACAGCGGGUUUAACAGGCUGAUAAGCUGUAGCCGUCCUGGAUCUCCACCUGCAGCCAGUUAAACUGUAAACAAAGCCCCUCUGCCACAAAAGGGUGCAGUUCAAAUGGAAGUAAUUUCCUCAAGUGAAAGCAGAGCUGGAGUGGGGAACGGCUUAGUCCCUGACAGAUGGGUGACAAUCUAUUCAGCGGUCGACGACAAUGGGAAGACGUGGGCGUUUGGCCUGAGAAUGUUGAACGCAGAGAUUAUUUCAUCAUGUUUGGAUUUCUGGAGGGUGAUCUGACAUGGUGGAUUAUACAAUACAUUUAAGUAAUGUUUUAUGUGCAUAGGGAUAUAAAAUAUUGGUCCUAUAUAAAUGACGAUAUCUUUUGUCUCACCACUAGCCAAUGAUUGUAUAUUUUUAUAUACCAUAUAUAGCAAAAUAUUUAUGAACGUAUGAUAUUUAAUCGCCAGAAUGUUAGAUUAAGGAACAGGAAGGACACUUCUAUGUAGGCUUGCUGACUAGAAGUCAGUAUGAAUUCCCACUUUAAUGUAUUUUUUAAGCAAAAGGAAGCAGCAGGAAAUAAGGAAGCACCGAAGAAGAAAACUGAAUGUUUAAGCUAUGGACGUUUAUGGAUGUUUCAUAGUAAAUCGUGGGGCUUUUCAACUUAUUGCCCACAUUCUGAGCUGUUGAGGAAGAUUCGGAAAGGUUGCUUCACAAUCAGCUACACCACAGGAAAGCAAUCCAUCGCCCCUGCUUGUGACUCCAAAAUUAAAAGGCUCAAGACCCCAACUUUAAGCAGCAGACAGAUCCAAAUCCUGACAUGCUUUUGCUCGUGUUUGUUUUUGUGUUUUGGCCAGAGGUCUGAAACGUCCUACCAGCAACCUGUACGUGCAGGUCAGAGUCUGGUUAUUACUCCUACUGUAGCACUGAGAGACGUGUCUCUCUUCAAGUAGUCCUACAUCAGCAAAACAUAUACACACUGUACAUUUUUAACAGACCUAACCAAAAAUGGCACCUACCAAGGACUAGAUAUCUUUAUGGGGGGGAGGGUUUGAGCCGUUUAAAUCGUGUAGCCUCUUUUCUUUUUCUUCUUUUACUUCCAAAAAAAGAUAUUGGAGGACUUGAUCUACAUGUGUGUGUAGAGUCAUUUAUUCAUCUGCGUUGUGUGCAGAGUAGGAAGUCAAGUAUUUUUGCACCUGAUGAACUAAUUCGAUAAGAUCUUUUGUCUGCAUUUACAGUAAAAGCUCCAGACUCCAGUGCAGCAAUUUGACCGUUUAUUUCAAAGAAAGCAAAAUGAAUUCAGGUUGGUUUUGCCAUAUUUAUUCACCAACAAUGUUAUCUGCUGGAUUUAGCCUGGAAAUGCAAACAUGGUCACUGCUUCAUAAAAUCUUGACACUGGGAAGCCACAAAAGGAUGACAAGACUGAUUUUUAUCGUUACGGAGAAAAGCUGCUGUACAUUGAGAAAUUUUUAAUCUGUUCAGUAUUUUAAAAAAAAUGAAAAUAAACUAACAAAAAAAUAGCAUUUUACACACUUUUUAGAAGUAUUAGAGUUGUGUGUUUAUCCUUAACUUUGCCAGUUCGGAGAGUGUGAGGCUGGAGCGCAGAAGUCUUGUAAUCUUUCCCCGUGUCGGUCACUCAGAUCUCCUCACGUGGAUCUACCAUUGUUGCAGCAGAUGCAUAUUAUAUUUUCUUGUAAAUCAAAGCGUUUGUUGAUCACUGUUUGAUGCCGACAAAGAUAUUUUAAGAUGACUAUUUUGAAUAUAAAUUGUAUUUUAUUUUCCAGGUACAAUUAGAAUAGCCAGCUGUCGUAGGAGUAGAAUUAAAAUCAUCAAGAGAAUCACCUCAGAUGUUAUUUUGACUUCGAUGCUAAUGAACGCUUUGGGAAAGAGGGCAGAAACGGAAAGCGGGAACAUAUUGUUACAUGCAACUUUGUACUGCAUGUCUUCUAUUUUAGAUAUUAAAUAAUAGGAAUAUUAUAGCUAUAUUAUAUGAUAUUAAAUGACUGUUAGGGGCAGGUUGUUGCAGCUUGUGGGACGGAUGAAAGAAUCUGGUUUUAUUUAAAGAAACAUCCUUAUCAAGUUUCAGGUGCAAUGCUGUGAGUUUAUUUAUUUAAAAAAGAGAGAGAGAGAGACUGAUUUUGUGUGAAGAUUUACGUUCAUCUGUUUGUUGCUCGUGCAAAGACGCGAUCUUAUGAAGAAACAUCACAGGUCGGUAAGGAAAUGCAGUGGGGCACAGGUGCAUUUCAUUCAGUCCUUGAUGGACUAAAUGCGAUCAAGGACACGCAGCCUGUUUAAAACUACAAAUUUGGGUUACAUGAUCAUUACACGUAUUUAAUCUGUUGGGAUCAAUGAAAUCAAAACAUCUUCAAAGUAGAAGUGAUUGAUUUAGCUUUAAAUAAGUGAUCACUGCUGAAUUUCAUAGCCAGCUCUUUGCAUGUUAAGCAGCACUCGCACAUAGCAGCACCCAAACAGCUGAUUUUAAUCAUUUUUUCCCCUCAUAGCACGACGUUAAGUCAUCAGAUAUUGGUGGCGACGUUUUUCCAGGGCUGCUAAGCUCUUAGCUGAACCUGAUAGAUGAAAUUUGCUUGCCCAGUGGGUUUAGGAAUAAUGUAUAGACUAGAAUUCACUCAUUGUAUAGCGGCACCUACAACAGCACCUUUUAUGUGAAUAUUUAGUAUGACUGUUUUGUCAGGACCUCAAAGACCUUGUGUGUUAUCCCGCAUUCAUUCCAAAUCACAGAGAGCCCUGCCUGGCACUCAGUUUUGACACUAAGAUUGAGUCUUUCCGUAGCAGCAAACGCGACUCUCUUUGGGAUAUUACUUCAGAGGUGUGGCAGCAGCUUUACAAUGCAGACUUGACUGUCAGCGGUUCUGGUUUUGGAACAGCUUUCACCUCAUUAAAACCACGAAUGUCUCCGCCUGUAUCUGCUUCUCCACUCUUCAUUUUACAAACAAGAGCUAUUUAACAUUGCAUCGCAGAUGAGAAUUAUUUCUCCAAUCACCCCGUGAAUGUAGGAUACAGUUAUAUGCUCUUACUCACACCUGAGGAGUCACUUUAUAUUUGUAGAUUUUCCUUCUACGUAGCCAUUAAUGGAAGAGAGAUGUUCUGACCAGCACAGACAUAAAAGGCCUCAGUUGAGUUAGAAACAUAGAGGUCUUGUAUCUGUUUGUGCGUGUGCAGAUGCAGCUUUAAAUAGAUGAGUGGGCCCAUUUGAGAGCAUCAUGAGUGUUUUCUUCCAUUACUGAUGAUGCAGGAGCAUCUCUUUAAGCAAAGAAGGCACUUCCCUGCUUUUGGCCAGCUUGAUUUAGUGGCAAGAGAAUCGCAGCUCUACGUACAGCACAGUCUUUAUCUUCUUUCUGUUCCUCAUUUAUAUAUCAGGGCUAUGCUGCUCUGUAUGAUCUUACGUGUACGUCACUACUCAUGCAAAGUGUUAAAGGGCCAUUAACAGGACUGAGCUGUUUUUCUUCUUCUUCUCUGUCAGAGAGAUGUCUGUUGUCAAUCCUUGAGUUUAUUUUUUUGGAGAGAGGUGAUCACACAAAGACCAAUUCCUUGUAAUAUUAGUAGUGACGCUACUGUUAAAUGUAGUAUUUAAUAACAGCACUAUUUACGAUCAGAAAAAUGAACUAGAGUGUGUUAUUGUGCUUGGUAGCUUUGGAGACAGAUGGCCAUUUUUUUUCUUUUCUUUUCUUUUUUUUGUAACUGAAUUCUUUAACGUAAGCCACUCCCCCUCGACUGUGCGAGGAAUUUCAUUUGUUCUGAGGUUGCUAAGUGACAUGAUCUCACGAUUGACACAACCUUUUUAUUUUUUCUUCCUCUCGUUCUGCUUUUUUUUCUAAAAGAGAGAUCUUGAUUUUUUUUCUCCUUCAUUUCAUUUUAGAUUUUAGAAAGGGAAAGAAUACAAAUGAAAUAAAUCAGAAUAUUAAUUCAAUCACUUUUUCUACUCCUAUUUUCAAUAAAAAGUGAAAGAAAAAACCAAACAAAAAGUUGAUUUGUAAAUAAGUAAUGUACAGUUUGUAUCUGUAACUUGUCAGUCUGUCAUUGGUGACAGAGUCUGUCUUGCUUAUAACGCACGCUACAAGUAAAUAAAAAAGGAAAAAGUAUAUUUAGACUGUAUGGUCCCUUGAAAGCAAGUUUUAAAUUAAUAUCUGAUGUAUAUUCCUGUAACAUUGCAUUUUUAUCUGAGGAAUGAUGUUAUUAAAAAAUUGCAAAUAAAUUGCAUUUCCUACA